rnacentral:lncRNA from 1 species
UUGGUUUUUGUUUCAGAAUUCAAUUUUAUCAGAAAAUUAGGGCUUGUUUUGAUCAUCAGAAAAUGGAAUAUAGUGUUUCAGAAAUCAAUUAUCCGAGAUUGUUGUUCAUGAAUUUGAAGAAAAAGGUAUGUCUUUCUUCUUUGAAAUCCCUAUUUUUCUUCAAUAGUGUUUUUUAUAUCUGAUUUUAUAAUCCUCUGUUCACAUCAAUAGGGUUUAGGGUUUCUAUUAUUUUUAUAAUCCUCUUUACAGGUAGUGUACAACUUCAGGGUAAGUUGUUUUUUAUUAGAAAAUGGAGGACAAAUUUUGUGGUUUUGAAUCAGGUUAUAGUCGGUCUUUUUUCUAUUUAAUUUUAGUUUUACAUGUUAAAUCAAAUUGAGUAUGUACAAUUUAUUCUAUUUUUUUUUUAUCUUCAUAAGCACAAUGAUUUAUAUGCAUAUGACUACAUUAGGUAAAUAUAUUGUUCCAUAAAUGAAACUUUUUUCUAUUUACCUCUUUCAUCCGUGACUCAAAAUGUUGGACUACCUGAAUGU